GUGUCAGCCGCCGCGGUAAUACGUAGGUGGCGAGCGUUGUCCGGAUUUAUUGGGCGUAAAGAGCCCGCAGGCGGUUUGCUAAGUUUCAGGUGAAAUCUCCUGGCUCAACUGGGAGGGGUCCUGGAAAACUGGCAGACUUGAGGCAGGGAGAGGGAUGUGGAAUUCCCGGUGUAGUGGUGAAAUGCGUAGAUAUCGGGAGGAACACCAGUGGCGAAGGCGGCAUCCUGGCCCUGUCCUGACGCUCAGGGGCGAAAGCGUGGGGAGCAAACCGGAUUAGAAACCCUAGUAGUCC
rnacentral:rRNA from 1 species